rnacentral:rRNA from 1 species
GACGAACCGUGCGAACGUUGUUCGGAUUCACUGGGCUUAAAGGGCGCGUAGGCGGGUCUUCAAGUCGGGGGUGAAAUCCUCUCGCUUAACGAGAGAAUUGCUUUCGAUACUGGGGAUCUGGAGGGGGAUAGGGGUGCGCGGAACUUCCGGUGGAGCGGUGAAAUGCGUAGAUAUCGGAAGGAACGCCGGUGGCGAAAGCGGCGCACUGGAUCCCUACUGACGCUGAGGCGCGAAAGCCAGGGGAGCAAACGGG